rnacentral:rRNA from 1 species
CUACGGGGGGCAGCAGUGGGGAAUAUUGGACAAUGGGCGAAAGCCUGAUCCAGCCAUGCCGCGUGUGUGAAGAAGGCCUUCGGGUUGUAAAGCACUUUCAGUGGGGAAGAAAGCCUUGGGGCUAAUACCCUCGAGGAAGGACAUCACCCACAGAAGAAGCACCGGCUAACUCCGUGCCAGCAGCCGCGGUAAUACGGAGGGUGCGAGCGUUAAUCGGAAUUACUGGGCGUAAAGCGCGCGUAGGCGGUCUGAUAAGCCGGUUGUGAAAGCCCCGGGCUCAACCUGGGAACGGCAUCCGGAACUGUCAGGCUAGAGUGCAGGAGAGGAAGGUAGAAUUCCCGGUGUAGCGGUGAAAUGCGUAGAGAUCGGGAGGAAUACCAGUGGCGAAGGCGGCCUUCUGGACUGACACUGACGCUGAGGUGCGAAAGCGUGGGUAGCAAACAGGAUUAGAUACCCGAGUAGAC